GACGAACGCUGGCGGCGUGCCUAAUACAUGCAAGUUGAGCGCUGAAGGUUGGUACUUGUACCAACUGGAUGAGCAGCGAACGGGUGAGUAACGCGUGGGGAAUCCGCCUUUGAGCGGGGGACAACAUUUGGAAACGAAUGCUAAUACCGCAUAAAAACUUUAAACACAAGUUUUAAGUUUGAAAGAUGCAAUUGCAUCACUCAAAGAUGAUCCCGCGUUGUAUUAGCUAGUUGGUGAGGUAAAGGCUCACCAAGGCGAUGAUACAUAGCCGACCUGAGAGGGUGAGCGGCCACAUUGGGACUGAGACACGGCCCAAACUCCUACGGGAGGCAGCAGUAGGGAAUCUUCGGCAAUGGACGAAAGUCUGACCGAGCAACGCCGCGUGAGUGAAGAAGGUUUUCGGAUCGUAAAACUCUGUUGGUAGAGAAGAACGUUGGUGAGAGUGGAAAGCUCAUCAAGUGACGGUAACUACCCAGAAAGGGACGGCUAACUACGUG
rnacentral:rRNA from 1 species